rnacentral:sRNA from 12 species
CUGACAGACGUGAAGACUCCAGCCCUCAAUUUAUCCAUCCGCAGAACAAAUAGAGUGGAAACAGUGGCAAAACCCAGCUUUCCACGCGGCUUUUCCACUGCACCCCUGACCUGGGGAGACCUUCUGGCAGCGGGUGAGGAGGUUGCAAUGUCUCCAGCCCUGUCCAGACUCACUCUCU